rnacentral:rRNA from 1 species
UACGAAGGGGGCUAGCGUUGCUCGGAAUCACUGGGCGUAAAGGGUGCGUAGGCGGGCCUUUAAGUCGGUGGUGAAAUCCUGGAGCUCAACUCCAGAACUGCCUUCGAUACUGAGAGUCUCGAGUCCGGGAGAGGUGAGUGGAACUGCGAGUGUAGAGGUGAAAUUCGUAGAUAUUCGCAAGAACACCAGUGGCGAAGGCGGCUCACUGGCCCGGUACUGACGCUGAGGUGCGAAAGCGUGGGGAGCAAACAGG